rnacentral:RNase_P_RNA from 2 species
UCGAGAGGCUGAGGUGAUCGCGGUCGGGCCCACUGGGCCGCAGAUCGAGGAAAGUCCGGGCUCCACAGGGCAGGGUGCUUGCGAAAUGCAAGUCGAGGCGACUCGCAGGAAAGUGCCACAGAAAGCAAACCACCGGCUCACGGCCGGAGAGGGUGAAAGGGUGCGGUAAGAGCGCACCGGUUUCCUGGUGACAGGAAGCGCACGGUAAACCCCACUCGGUGCAAGGCCAAACAGAGCCGCGAAUCCGAACCGCGAGGCGAGGAGGAGCAGGGUAGCCCGCCCCAGCGCUCAGGUAGUGCCGCGCAGAAGAAUGAUCGCCACCUGGUCGAGGAGACGACGCCAGGGACAAAACCCGGCUUACGACCCUCUCGACCCC